UGUAAGCGUAUACCAAAGUUGUUGCAGUUAAAACGCUCGUAGUCGGAAUUUGGCAGUUCCGGAUGUGUGUACGUCGUGUGCGCACUUCGCGGGGAUUGCUUUUGUGGUCUUGCGUAGGAUGAGGCACUUUUAUUAGUGAACGUCCUCACGCAACCACUUUUUACUGUGAGAAAAUCAGAGUGCUCAAAGCAGGCAUUUGCCGUGAAUGUAUUAGCAUGGAAUAAUAGAAUAGGACUUGGUUCUAUUUUGUUGGUUUGUUGGGACUGAGUAACGAUUAAGAGGGACAGUUGGGGGCAUUUGUAUUUCGGUGCUAGAGGUGAAAUUCUUAGAUUACCGAAAGACAAACUGCUGCGAAAGCGUCUGCCAAGGAUGUUUUCAUUGA
rnacentral:rRNA from 1 species